UACGUAGGGUGCGAGCGUUAAUCGGAUUUACUGGGCGUAAAGCGUGCGCAGGCGGCCCGUUAAGACAGGUGUGAAAUCCCUGGGCUCAACCUAGGAAUUGCGCUUGGGACUGGCGGGCUCGAGUGCGGUAGAGGGGGGUGGAAUUCCUGGUGUAGCAGUGAAAUGCGUAGAGAUCAGGAGGAACACCGAUGGCGAAGGCAGCUCCCUGGGCCGGUACUGACGCUCAUGCACGAAAGCGUGGGGAGCAAACAGG
rnacentral:rRNA from 1 species